GUAUGUCACGUACUACAUAUAAAAUGAAGCUCAAAUUGCUGCUUGCUACAAAUUAAGCUGAAGAAGAUCUGUGUCUGACCAUCCUAAAGCUGUGAAUUGAGCUUUCAUGGAUGGAUGAUUUUAUUUCAAGUCACUUCUUUUCAUUACAGUUGCCCCAACUAUGGACUUCAUUUCAGAAGGGCUUAAGAGGUUUUCAUGCAGAUCAGAUGUAGGACAGGGUCUGACCCAGUCUGGGAGUUCAUGAGGAUGCUAUCCACAUCUGGGAACAAACCUUCAUCCCUGACAACUGUGCCUUCAAUGUAGACCGCAAAUGUCUUCAAACAAGGAUAUUUCCUCAAAUCCAUGGUAUUUUUUCAUUUUCAAAGGCCAGGUAGAUCCUGGAUUUCCCUCACCAAGGCGUGGGAUCAGAGAAAGGAAACCUGUGAAAUGGCCUGGGUAUGUGAGAAGAGCAGCAAGGAUCAGAGACAUUUGUCAGGUGUAAGGGAUGGAGACAUUUGUGUGACACAGACUCAUCUACCAUGUGCAAAAAGCCAGGUACCUGUCAGCCCAGAGUGCAACCACAGGCUCUGCCACAUCUUCCCCUUCUCCAAGGACUUUGACUGCCUUUUCUGGUGCUCAUCUCUGAUGUGGCACAGCUGUGGGACCUUGGUCAGAGCUGCAGAAGGAAGAGCCUUGUUGGAGUCUCCCACAUUCCUUCACCUGCGAUGCUCACCCUGGAUCCUUGCUGUAACUUUUUACUUUUCCAAUCCUGACCCACUGACCUGUUAUUCUGUGUUGACUCUGGAUCAGGCCCAUCAGUGGUGACUUAUCUGUGAUCCUAGAAUGGAGGCUGAGCCUGGUCCCUGUCGCUGAUCCUGGAUAUACAUCUCACUGGGCACAAAAGGAUGGCACUCCAUCAGUGUGGCACUGAUUGGUCAGCCCAUGGACCCGGGCUCAAGGCCCUUUAAAAAGCAGCCUCCUGCUCCUGCACCCUGGGAGUACAACUCCCAAGGGCCAGACAACCUGCAAUAGGAAAGCAGUGCUCCAACUUCUCAAGAAUUUCUUUUUUUUCCUUUCAUUCUUGGUGCCUGCUUUGAUGAACUUGUGUCUGGAAAGAUUUUCCUAUGUAUAAUGUCAGGUUUUUAUAAGUGAUAUAAUGUAUAUCCCAAUUUAGCCAAUAACAUGUUGUUCAUCAGGAGCACAGAAAAGCUGAUUGAAAUCCAUUUUUUUUUUGAUCCAGUGACAUGAACCUGAGCAGCUAUACAGCCCCUUUAUGUCCUCAGUUCUCAUGUAUUCCUUUAUGAGAUUGUCAAAGCAGGCAUUGUACCAGAAAACCAAUUAUUGACUCCAAAACCAAAGAAUUAAGGUGAUUGUAUGUUAUUUUCACUUACAAAUUCCAAGUUUGAGUUCUGCUGUAAUUAAUGUUUGUGAACAAUGGUCCACUUCCAAAAGAAAGACAGUCAAACACAAGAAUUGUGGAAUUUACCUGAGAUGCUGGAACCUGCAAAGUCACUGUUUGAACCUCACUUCUCAAAUACAAAUAAAGGAAAGAAACAGCACCCAGCUGGCUAUCUGAGGACAUGUGAAAGGUAUGUUCUCAACACUUUGUCCUCAGAGUCUCUUUAUGAGGAUUAGAGAAUGUGUUAAGAUGAAGAAUGCAAAAUUUCUUAUCUUUGGAAAUUCCAGCUCUUUCCUGUCUGUCCAAAGGGUUAUCUUCAUAUUCUGAUGCACUAAUACUACCACAUUUUAGAAGAAAAUAAAUUUAAAAAUCCAAUUUUAGAAGAAAAUAAAUUAAAAAAAUC